AAAGGAGUGGAAUUGCCAUUAGACUGAUUGGGAGCUGGAUUUAGUGGAAGGACAACAUUUUAAAAGCACCUAAGUGACAUAGAAGCCUCAGGGCAUGUCUUCACCAGAGAUGCAAUUUUAAGAAAAUUAAGAUCACCCACAAUGCAUUAAAGGACUUGGCAAUGAGAUCUACACUAAAAUAUGUGCCUGCUUCUGAUCAGCGCCUCUGUCUUCUAAGUUAUACACGUGGCACAUGUGAGUGAACUAGAUGUAUGCAAAAGGUGAGUCUUGCUUGCCUUCACUCUUGGAGCAGCAUUACUCCUAAAGGAGGAAGAAGACUACCUUGAAAAAGUGUUCUUGGAUACGGGGUGAAGUUGCAGCACUGCCCUUGAAGCCAAGAAAUUUACUUCUAAUUUAUACACAGGUGUGAAAAUACUACAAAAUGCAACCACAAAAGGUGACACGGGAGAAAUAGGAAAACAGGAGGGCUGAACACUGCUGUUUCCCUGCAUCUCCAGCCAGCAGCGGCUGUGGGCUUCUUCUGAGCUCGUGGACUUCCUCCUCCAAGGCACUUCCAGCAGCAGUUACCUAGAGGAAAGCACAAGGGCAGACUGAGCGUGCUUUUCCAAUGGCUUCCAGUUAUGCCAAACAGCAGAAAGCCUGGAGAAGACAUCUGAAGGCUGGGCUUGGGGUGAAGAGGCAUUGCAUGAGGACAGGACAUUCCACGCCUGGCUGCUGAAUGGCUGUAGGAAGCAGUUUCUUCGGAUAGUUUUACAGCAUGCUGGUGGCCAGCAGGAUUGUUUGAAGGAGGAGAAACCUGCUUCAUGCAUCCCAUGUCCCUGCAUCUUCUGGAAGCUGGACAGGUUCCGCAGCUCUCGAGGCCCUCUCCAAGCAGGAGUCCUGGGCUGAUGGAAGUGGGCAGUGUCUUCUCCAGAAGCACCCAGCCAGCCCUGCGGAAGGUGUGUGUCUGUGAUCACGUGAGGGCUGCAGUGAUGCUCUCGUGUUUCAGAAGCUGAGCUACGUUUCAGAAAGGAGGGGAGCCAGCUAACAAAAGAAAUCCAGAGAAGAGCAAAAAGCGUUGUGUUUAUGAAGAACAAUUGAACAGGCCAGACAUCUCCAGCCUGUGAGGGAUACAGCAGAGGUCUAUAAAAUCAUGAGUGGCCUGGAAAAAAAUGAAUUGAUUGCUGCUCUUACCUGUUUCCAGAAAAAGCACUUUCAGAAGAAACCAAAGCUCCAGGAGCUCGUGUUCAAGAAGUGAAACGGAGCCAACAUCUGAUUAAGGCAGAUUCGGUCAGGUCAGGGAAAUGAGCUUCCCCAGGGACUUUCUACUGCUGCUGAAAGAGCUCAAGGUUUAAGACUCCUAUCUGCCCCACAGAAACAGAAAUGAUGGGAAUGUGGUUGCCACAGAUGAGGUAACAACAGCAAGCUGAAGUGGCUUUGAUUUAUUUUUUUUAUUCUUCUCAGUACAAGGGACAGCAGCAUAGGAGUACAUGCGAUAGUGGUGGUUGACCAGAGGUUUGUGCAGCGGUGACCUGAGAAAGCAUACUGAUACGAAUCAUAUGUGCAUGGAUGUGUACUUACAUACAUGUUUUUUUUAGCUACCUGUGGCUCAGUUUCAGAGAAGCUCAGCUCUGGUUCCCAUUACAGAUUUACUCAAGUGAAAAUUUGUUGGAAUGGAAAAAGAUUGGUAAUAACUAAAAAUAGCAGUUGACCUCUACUAUGUGUUUCCACCUAUGUUUACUUUUAAGACAGCGAUAAUGAUUAUUUGUGGAAUAUCUUCAAAUAAACAAGAAAGUGGGC
rnacentral:lncRNA from 1 species